CACGUAGGGGCCAAGCGUUGUCCGGAUUUAUUGGGCGUAAAGAGCUCGUAGGCGGCUUGUCGCGUCGACUGUGAAAACCCGCGGCUCAACUGCGGGCCUGCAGCCGAUACGGGCAGGCUAGAGUUCGGUAGGGGAGACUGGAAUUCCUGGUGUAGCGGUGAAAUGCGCAGAUAUCAGGAAGAACACCCGUGGCGAAAGCGGCUCUCUGGAACGGUACUGACGCUGAGACGCGAAAGCGUGGGGAGCAAACAGG
rnacentral:rRNA from 1 species